UAAUACGGAGGAUCCAAGCGUUAUCCGGAAUCAUUGGGUUUAAAGGGUCCGUAGGUGGAUAAUUAAGUCAGAGGUGAAAUCCUGCAGCUCAACUGUAGGAUUGCCUUUGAAACUGGUUAUCUUGAGUUAUUAUGAAGUAGUUAGAAUAUGUAGUGUAGCGGUGAAAUGCAUAGAUAUUACAUAGAAUACCAAUUGCGAAGGCAGAUUACUAAUAAUAUACUGACACUGAUGGACGAAAGCGUGGGGAGCGAACAGGAUUAGAUACCCUGGUAGUCCACGCCGUAAACGAUGGUCACUAGCUGUUCGGACUUCGGUCUGAGUGGCUAAGCGAAAGUGAUAAGUGACCCACCUGGGGAGUACGUUCGCAAGAAUG
rnacentral:rRNA from 1 species